rnacentral:rRNA from 1 species
CACCGCGGUUAAACGAGAGGCCCAAGUUGAUAAACAUCGGCGUAAAGCGUGGUUAAAAAAUAAGUACACUAAGACCGAAUACUUUUAGUGCUGUUAUACGUAUUCAAGAGUUAGAAGUCCAACUACGAAAGUGGUCUUAAUCAAAUAUUGAACCCACGAAAGCUAUGAUA